GCCAACUUGCGAAAGUGAGCGAAUCCCAAAAAGUGCGUCGUAGUCCGGAUUGGAGUCUGCAACUCGACUCCAUGAAGUCGGAAUCGCUAGUAAUCGUGGAUCAGAAUGCCACGGUGAAUACGUUCCCGGGCCUUGUACACACCGCCCGUCACACCAUGGGAGUGGGCUGCAAAAGAAGUGGGUAGUUUAACCUUCGGGAGGACGCUCACCACUUUGUGGUUCAUGACUGGGGUGAAGUCGUAACAAGGUAGCGCUAGGGGAACCUGGCGCUGGAUCACCUCCUUAUACGAUGAU
rnacentral:rRNA from 1 species